CUUUCACAGACCAAUGUUUCACUGGAAUGCUUAGUUUGUUUAAAUUUGGUUAGUGACUGGUUCCCGUCACUUUGCCAUACUUCACAGCACUCCAAGCGUUUUAAUAGUCAGGUCCUUUGUGAUGUCGGUCACCUGGCUGGCAUGAGGAACUGCAGAUGGCUGCGCUGUGCCAUGCAAAGAGGCACAAGCCCGGACCUAGUAUUUCUGCGGCCCAUGGUCCUCUGCCCAGUCUGUCUGAGGAAGGUUCAGUAAGCCCUUGGAUUCACUCUAGUAGAGCACUAGAAGGUGUGGAUUCAGAAACUACAAACCUGGGAAAGAGCCAUCUCUUCCAUCUGAGGGGUCAAUGAUUCUAUGGGCAGAGCAGCCUCUGAGGACCACCUCCUAUUCAGGACGGACUGAGGUGUGUCCUGUGAGAACAAUUCCAAGCUUCUGUCGGGCACUUUGGAGCCGAUGAGCCCCGACACAAACAGCCAGGAACUCUCCAUCGGCCAAGAGCUGCAGCUCGAUAGACCACCCAGCACUGCGGCCUUCUCCUCAUCCAGCCCCAGCAGGCCUCAGGAGAGGGAGGAGGGGGUGGUUGAGACCCACCUGUCCACGGACCUCAUUGAAGAGUAUGUGGCUUGACUGUGGGCCUGCAUCGCAACCCUAGAGAGAGGCUUCCAAGGACGAGGUCUCCGGGCUGGACGCUUUUGUGGACGUUCUGCCCGCUUACAGCAGCUUUACAGAGAGGGCCACUGUAGUCAAGAGCGUUUGAGGCUCCUAAAGAGGAGAGGUGGCUGAAAAAGUUUAUCGGGGAAAGGUUUUCCUCUCUACGUCGGAAGCUGAGCACCAGGAACUUGUUAAAAAGAUGAACUCCUACUCUCUAGCUGAAAGUGUUGAAGACUGACUAACUUCGCUGCUCGGGGCGCCUCAUUUUGCUGAUUGCUCAGUCUCGCUUCUGUACCUCUUGAAGUGUUUAAUCCAGCCAUCGCCGUGCUUGAAAUGCAGAUACAGACUGUGAACUCAUGCACAGUCUGUAUCUACAAUUGCUGUACAAUUGAGCACAAGCAGCAACCUACUGUGAAAGGGAUGUGGCAUCUUACUCUGUCGCAAAAUAAGGCCUUUACACAAAGUGGGGAGAGCCUCUUCAAAAGACUUGGCAUCUGUCAGCUUAGGCAAUAAGUACUGAAGUCAGUAUCAAAAGAAUGAGAGAAAUACAUUUUUUUACAUUUGAAUGCCUUUAUCCCUGAAAGCUGUAUCUGAGUGUUAAUGCUGUACCGACAAAGUAUACGACUAGGUCACCAACACUGGAAGAAGAAAUAAUAAUAUAAAUAAUAAUAAUACAGCACAAUUACAGUACUGUAAAAAGCAAAUCGCAUUACUCUAUUAUACAAUAAUAUCUGUAAACAGGAAGAGAUUGUUAGACACAUGUUCAGAUUUAUUUUUACAAAACCUGAUAUAUUUGAGCUACUGUAGAAUGAAAGGACAUGCUUUAUAUUAGUCAGUGAAACUCGUAUUUAAAGCUCUCUGCCCAGCAAUUGAUUGGUUAGCCCAUUACCUUGAGGCACAUAAAACGGAACACUUUCUUACUGUUUGCUAAGAGUGGGACGUUAAACAUGAUUUCCUCUUUAUUUAUUUUUUUGUGGGUCACAGCUGUUCUUUGCCUGUUCCCUCUGCACUGAUAGCUGAUUAUUAAAUAUCAGAGUUCAGUUUCAGGUCUAAUUAAAUUCAGCCUGAAGGAAGCGUUGUGAUAACAGGAGUCAUGAGAUCUUGUAUCCGUCCAGAAUACUGAAAUGGCUGUUAUUGGAUGUGUCCUUUAAUGGCACCAGCUUGUUCUCCAGAAAAGGUUAAAAAGAAAAUAAAUACAUUAAAACAAGAAAAAAAAAAAAAAAAGGGUUUCAGAAGAGCUCUUAAAAUGAGACACUGAUCUGGACUUGAAAAGACUAGACCAAAACAAAAUUACCAGGGUCAGAACACUGCAAAAAAUACUACAUAAUAAAAAGAAGUGCCAGAAAGAUUAUUAUUUUAUUUGUUUUGCAUGCACUAAACAGCAUUACACAUUCAUAUUAUCAGUUAGGAAUCUACCGUCUUAGGAUGUGUUUCUCAAGUAUGUGUGCACACUAUGGGAGGGGGAGAGUCCAGCUGUAGAUAAAUCUAUUGUGUGGCCUGGCAGACUAUUUUGUGUCCCUCUAUUCAGCACCCAUGCCCCACAUCCCCGCUCUCUCUCUAUUCAACCACAUCAAGUCACUUAUUUUCAGUCACAAAGCCUUCCAAGUUAUUACCAAAUCAGAAACAACUCCCCAUCAACAUUUUUCUUUUCUGGUUACUAAAAUGAAAGAUCAGACAUUUUCCACAGCUUUAAUUUGGAUCCAAGAUGGGUUUCUUUGCUUUAAAAGAAGAGGUAAAAGAAAAAUAUUUCGAAAUGUAUACCUCUUUGUACAUUUAAAAUACAUGGUGGUUUCCUGUGGGUGCAGCCACAGACUCUGAGCCCUGUUGUCCCUCUGUGUUGCACAGAAACCAUUGCAUCAGAAACACCCCAGGGGGAUGGCACCAAAUUCAGUACAUCUGUGUGUCACAGUAGCUGUAUAAAAGGAUUCCUAAUCCGAACCCUAAACCUUAUCAGAACCUGAAAUUGGGGAGCGUUCGUUGUGAAUACUUCUGUUAACAGAUCUUGCAUGGUUGUCAUUUUCCCUGUAACUCAAGAAUAUUGUUAUAUACUCCCCUUGCCACAAGCUUGCUCCGUUGGGGGGGGGGGGAAUAAAAAUAAAUAAAGGCUAUUCUGUACUGUGCCACUCAUGCACACGUCAUAAAACCAUUACAUACACAGAUGCAGCUACUUAAUAGAAUGAUGCAGCGUUUCUGCCAAUACGUUACUGCUAAUACACAUCUCGAAAUGUGUCUUGUGAUGCUCUGAUGUGCCUCAUUCUUGUACUUGCUAACAGUUAAACUUGCUCUUAUUUAGGUACUGAACUUAUUGUAUAUUGUACUUGC